CCCUGUUUACUGUAACAGAGCCUAGUGAAUGAGAGAGUUAAUAUCUGUGUUCUGCACUCACUGAAUUCACUGCUUCUCGGCAGGCAAAAGAGAGCAUGAGGAUUUCUUAUCUACUCUAAGGUAGAGCCUUGCCAGGGCACCUCACAGAGGAAGCAGCCUCCCACAUUUAUGUCAUCAGUGCACACAGUUGUAAAGCGAUCCUUCUGGGUACAGCAGCACACUAAAGCGUCUGUACGACUCCGACACUCGCACAUCUCUCCCUUCUGCUAGACAAGAAAAAAUCUGGACAAUGUUACCUGGAUUUUGCACCUUCAAGGGAAUUGCACGCACCCUGGGAAUGGCAAUCAAUGAUCGUCCAGACCUG